GCCUGUAUAGCUCAGUUGGUAGAGUGCAAGGCUCUUAACCUUGUGGUCCUGGGUUCUCGAGCCCCAUGGUCGGCG
rnacentral:tRNA from 1 species